AUUGAACGCUGGCGGCAGGCCUAACACAUGCAAGUCGAGCGGAUGACGGGAGCUUGCUCCUUGAUUCAGCGGCGGACGGGUGAGUAAUGCCUAGGAAUCUGCCUGGUAGUGGGGGACAACGUUUCGAAAGGAACGCUAAUACCGCAUACGUCCUACGGGAGAAAGCAGGGGACCUUCGGGCCUUGCGCUAUCAGAUGAGCCUAGGUCGGAUUAGCUAGUUGGUGGAGUAAUGGCUCACCAAGGCGACGAUCCGUAACUGGUCUGAGAGGAUGAUCAUUCACCCUGGAACUGAGACACGGUCCAGACUCCUACGGGAGGCAGCAGUGGGGAAUAUUGGACAAUGGGCGAAAGCCUGAUCCAGCCAUGCCGCGUGUGUGAAGAAGGUCUUCGGAUUGUAAAGCACUUUAAGUUGGGAGGAAGGGCAGUAAGUUAAUACCUUGCUGUUUUGACGUUACCGACAGAAUAAGCACCGGCUAACUCUGUGCCAGCCGCCGCCGUAA
rnacentral:rRNA from 1 species